rnacentral:rRNA from 1 species
UACGUAGGGUCCGAGCGUUGUCCGGAAUUACUGGGCGUAAAGAGCUCGUAGGUGGUUUGUCGCGUUGUUCGUGAAAAACUCACAGCUCAACUGUGGGCGUGCGGGCGAUACGGGCAGACUUGAGUACUGCAGGGGAGACUGGAACUCCUGGUGGAGCGGUGAAAUGCGUAGAUAUCAGGAGGAACACCGGUGGUGAAAAACGAGUCUCUGGUCCGCUUCUGACGCUCAGGUGCGAAAGCUAGGGGAGCAAACGGG